rnacentral:rRNA from 1 species
AUACGGAAGGUCCGGGCGUUAUCCGGAUUUAUUGGGUUUAAAGGGAGCGCAGGCGGAGAUGCAAGCGUGACGUCAAAUUUCGGGGCUCAACCCCGUCUCGCGUCGCGAACUGCGUCCCUUGGUUGCGGGAAGGGGAGGCGGAACUCGUGGUGUAGCGGUGAAAUGCAUAGAUAUCACGAAGAACUCCGAUCGCGAAGGCAGCCUUCCGGCCCGUCAACGACGCUCAUGCUCGAAGGUGCGGGUAUCAAACAGGAUUAGAAACCCUGGUAGUCCGCACAGUAAACGAUGGACACCCGCGGUUUGGCCUGUAUGGCUGAGCCGCCAAGCGAAAGCGUUAAGUGUCCCACCUGGGGAGUACGCCGGCAACGGUGAAACUCAAAGGAAUUGACGGGG